rnacentral:rRNA from 1 species
UUGAAAGGGAAACGAUUGAAGUCAGUCGUACCCUGCGGGAUAAUCAGCCUUUCGAGUAUGAUUCUGUGGAGUGUAAGGAGUUUAACCGUCUUCAUACCUGCAUAUUCGUGCGCUUUGGGUGUACUUGUCCGUAUGGUAGGUUAACAUCAAUUUUGGUCGUUAUAAAAUGACCAGGGGAAUGUAGCUUUGAUCCCGUAUUGAAGUGUUAUAGCCUCUGGUAAAUGCAGUGACUAGGAUUGAGGAUUGCAACGGAUACCUUUCGGGGCUACUCGUCUGAUCUCUGGAAGUUACUUUGGUGCUAAAAGCUUGCUUAUGGUUAUCGAAGUUGACGGUCAAUAGGUUAGAACGAGUUAAAUUCGUUAAGGAUGUUGACGUA